AAAGUCAAAUUUAGUAUUUUUGACUGUUACAUUGAUCACAUUUCUUGGUCUUGCCAAAGGAACAAUAAUAUCUCCACCUGAUGGUCAAAAAUUUGUAUUUUUGCCUGGAUCUUCUCACGAUAUAACUUGGACAUUAUAUAAUACUGGAAACUUUAUUUUUCGGAGCUGGACCUUUAGGACAUUUGACACUCCUUCUUCUGCAGCUCAAGUAAUUGUAAGAAUAAUUGAUGA